UACGUAGGGUGCGAGCGUUAAUCGGAAUUACUGGGCGUAAAGCGUGCGCAGGCGGUUUUGCAAGCCGGAUGUGAAAUCCCCGGGCUUAACCUGGGAAUGGCAUUUGGGACUGCAAGGCUGGAGUGCGGCAGAGGAGACUGGAAUUCCUGGUGUAGCAAUGAAAUGCGUAGAUAUCAGGAGGAACACCGAUGGCGAAGGCAGGUCUCUGGGCUGACACUGACGCUCAUGCACGAAAGCGUGGGGAGCAAACAGG
rnacentral:rRNA from 1 species